UACGUAGGGGGCAAGCGUUGUCCGGAAUCAUUGGGCGUAAAGGGCGCGUAGGCGGCUAGUCAAGUCUGAUGUGAAAGUGCGGAGCUUAACUCCGUAAAGCAUUGGAAACUGGUUGGCUUGAGGACAGGAGAGGAAAGUGGAAUUCCACGUGUAGCGGUGAAAUGCGUAGAGAUGUGGAGGAACACCAGUGGCGAAGGCGACUUUCUGGACUGUAACUGACGCUGAGGCGCGAAAGCGUGGGGAUCAAACAGGAUUAGAUACCCUGGUAGUCCACGCCGUAAACGAUGAAUGCUAGGUGUAGAGGGUAUCGACCCCUUCUGUGCCGCAGUUAACACAAUAAGCAUUCCGCCUGGGGAGUACGGCCGCAAGGUUGAA
rnacentral:rRNA from 1 species